rnacentral:lncRNA from 1 species
CACAAUAUAUGUUUUUAGGAUUGCACAAUAUCCACAUAAUGAUUAAUCAAACAAGUAUUUAAGUCAACUAAUCAUUGCAAAUCCAGGCUGAGAAUGUUUAAAGCAGGAAAAGAACGUGGUUUUUCAUUGUCUUCAUUCAAACGCGGUUGCUUGAGAUUUGUCCGGCUGUUAAAAAUGGUUGAUGGAGCAUCCUAAUUUGUUUAAGAAGCUUGAGGGUUGGUUUCCGUCUAUGAGUAUUCUCAUCUUAUGAUCAUAUAUAUAGUUUGUUCCUGUAGAUAGUAAAACAUCAGUUGUUAUCUGUUUAUGCCACCCAACUACUCGAUAAGGAGACCUUGUGAUUUAUUGCAUAGGGACGAUAAGGUACACAUACUGCAAGUGGUGGAACAUUUUAUUUAAUUUCAAUCCAUGAAGUGCAUACACAUAUUUUUAGAUCUACAGAUACAGGAAUUUUCAAGAAAGUAAAGCUUUUCUCCAAUAUACCUCGAGGCUUACAAUCUGCUGCUGAUCUAUUUAAGCAUGUUGUGAUUUGUUUUAGUCUUUUAAAAGUCGACGUUUAUUUUUCAAGUUCUAACAUAUAAUGACAUCUUGAAUUCACACAAGUUGAUUGUUGGUAGCAUAUAUUGUGAAUUCAAGAUGAUAUUAUAUAUUAGAAACAGAGGACUUGAAAAAUAAAUGUCGACUUUUAAAAGACUUAAGCAGAUCACAAAUUACUUAAAUAGAUUAACAACAGACUUUAAGUCUCA